CCCGCUUGCAUAAUUGCGCGGUAUAAAUAGCCGGCGGGCGGGCUGCUGGCGCGCUGGCGGGUACCGCGGGCGUGCACGCUUCACCCCGGAGCCGUCCUCUCCCGGGGCAUUUUCCCUUUCAGCUGCAGAACUGGGAUUUGAAAUGGCAGCGAUAAAAGAAAGGCUUUUGUCUCUGCCUGCCUCCUCCCUGGAGUUAACGUCCUAAGAAUGAAACGCUGCCGUCGCUGCUUCCAGAGGUGCAUCCCUCCAGGUGCCAGAAGCCCCCGGUCCACGCGGAGGCCCCCGGGGCCCGGGUGCGUGCGCGCCGUGCAGGGCGGCGAGCGUCUUGGCUGGUAGAGCGCGGAGGACCUUGGAGGCUCGGUGGAAAAGCUCGUGCACCCAGAGUCAGUUUAGCCGUUCUCGAGUUCUGGAACUCUUCUUGGGAGCCUCGCUAGGUCCAAAGCCGAGAAAUUCUGAAAACGUACUCUUUCCAACUGUAUUUCGCGACUAGGUGGUCAUUUCACAGAUGGAAGUCUGCAGAGGAGUCUCACCAUCCUCCCACCCUUCUCUUAAACGUCAGACUUCAACUGAAUGUCUUAAAAUGAAAUAACCAGUUUUUCACAAAAGGAUUUCGGGAGUGGGAAAGUCUGUCUGCACACAUAUUCCAAGUCUACUUUGGGCACGUUAGCUUGAAGAAGACAAGCAGUUUGCAAGUAAAGGAAGGGUCGUUGAAAGCAGAUGGCAGGAAGCUGGUGAUGGCCUGCAGGAUGAGGAAAUGCAGGUUUGUGAGUUGACUUAACUGACGUAGACUGGUCCCUGGCUCUGGGCUCCAAACUUCAGGUUAGAUUUCAUUGUUUCAUGUGUCUCUCCUUGGACCAGUGACCACCUGGAGCCUUUGAUUGGUUCAGUGUAUCUCAUUCUGGGACCCAAGUUACAAGGUAUUCUCCCUUUCCAGUCCAAUGUUAAGUCUGCCAUCUCAGCUAAAAUCUCAUACCAGGGCCUUCAGUCUCAGUACUGUCAGGCUGUUGCCAGCCACUGCAACAUGGGUUCGAUCACCAGCGAGGGAGCUAACCCACAUGGCACAACAGACCUCUCCUGUCUCGCCCACUGCUCCCUCAGGAGGAGAAGCAGUCAUUUGCCAGCCAAGGAGAGAGAGACCUUAGAAUGAAACCAAUUCUAUGGGUAGUUAAGGGAGUGGUAGAAGUUCCUCUUGAACCUGAAGUUCCUGACCUCACUUGAAAUAAUCCACAAGCCAAAAUGACACGUCUGAUAAAGGCGUGUUCUGAACAUCUUGGGAAAUCCUAUCCUUCAGUUGUAUAUUUGAAAUAGGUAUUACGGCAGGUCAACAAUUUACUUUCAAAUGACUUCGAAGGGGAAAAAAACACUUCCUUGUUCUGUAUAUUCACAAUUUUUAAAGCUUUGUGGUUAUUUCAAAAUUUAAAACAAAAGAAAACUCUGAUAUAGUACGUAAGAGAUGAUCAUCAUACAUGGUCUGAUGGGUGGGACCACUGGGGACAAGUAUCCAUUCUCCCCAAAGUAAACUUUGACUCUUGUGUUAACUCAUUAGGAGCAUCUGUCAAAGAGUUUGAGGAAAUCAAUUAAAAUAUUAUUCUAAAAUUUACAUAGAGAUAUAAUUCCAUAAA